AUAGUUGUCUGCUCUUGUUAUAGUCGUAGGCUUAAUGGCGACUACCGUUUCUACGUACCAAAGUGACCAACCCAUACAUAUUCCCGUUGGUGAUGAGGUGGAACCAUGGGCUGAGUUACGUGGGAUUGCCCGAAGAAUUGGAAAAUUUUAGGUUGUUGUUAGAUAACGCUCGGAAGUAGAGGUUAGUUACUUAUUCCUUUGAACCUAUAUUAAUUACAUAAUAAUUCGUAAAAAAAAAUCCGUACAUAAUGAUAUUUACAAUUUUAGUUUUCAGUUUGAAUGGAUGUCGUACACCGACAACGAUAUCAUUUCUUACAUCCCAUCCAAAGUGUUGGAAAAUCGGGAGAUGUGGGACACCAAUAUGCCAUUAGUAGUGUACACAACAAUGGAAAUACACGAAUCAGACCGAAUAUUACGGUAGUUCAGGUGGAGGAAAUGUAUUUUUCCACCACUGUAAGACCUAAAGGAGCUGCACAAGGUGGACAUGCAUGGGAAGAACGACAACGAUUGGUCGUAGCGGCACAGGGAGCACAUUGAGGCUUAGGAGCAUAGGAUGCAAUCCUUACCCAUCCGCGAACCAUUUUUCUCAGCGUACACAAUGGCAGAUGUCGAGUACCUGUUGUGCUUUGUACUUGUCGGUAAGUCGUAUCUGCUAUCCCCGGAGGAGAUGAGAAGGCAUAUUUGGCAUAAGAGGCAACGAUGAAUGCCACAGCAGCAGCAUAGGAGGGGAUGCGGUCGCACGACGGGAUCGUCAUUGGCCCCGGUAGAAGAAACACUGCCUGUGUCUAUGCAAUAUAUGGAUGCCCAUAUAACACUCGAUACCAAUGUCGAUAACUGAGGCAAUGUCUACGUACCUGAGAUUUGGGGCACCUUAUGGUUACGUGUUUAUAAUGACCCAAACACUGUCCAUAUCACUAUUUUGCCAAGGUGGGUCAUUGGUGCAACCAUUUCUCGCUAGAGUGUCGGAUAUAAGAUCGAAGGCUAGGACCUGCAAUAACCGACCACGGAGGAUAAGGAUGACACUAGCGAACCUGAAGAAGAAGGCUAGAGGGCAUUGAUAGGUGGGAGUCCUAGUGAGGAUGACACUGAAGAUAAAGUUUACAGGCUCGUACCUUCGAAUACACCUCCCGUUGUAUGUAGAAAUCCUCCACGCAACCGUCGUCCACUGUCUUGCAGUACGCAUUCUCCCUAAUAACAUGGUUAAUGUAUUUUUGUUGUUUUUAAUAUUACGAUGAAAAUAUAUACAAAAGUAAAUAAAUCCAUACAC